rnacentral:rRNA from 1 species
UUACCGGCUUGACAUAGAGAUUCGGACAGGUGGUGCAUGGUUGUCGUCAGCUCGUGUCGUGAGAUGUUGGGUUAAGUCCCGCAACGAGCGCAACCCUGUUUUAGUUGCCAUCAUAUGGGACUCUAGGAGACUGCCGGUGACAAUCGGAGGAAGGUGGGGACGACGUCAAAUCAUCAUGCCCCUUAUGCCGGGCUACACACGUACUACAAUGGAUUACACAGUCAGAGUAAUCGGAGCAAUCCUCAAAUGUCCCAGUUCAGAUUGUGAGCUGAAACUCGCCCACAUGAAGUCGGAAUUGCUAGUAAUUGCAGUCAGCAUAUGCAGUGAAUACGUUCCCGGGCCUUGUACACACCGCCCGUCACACCAUGAGAGUCUGAAACCGAA